AGAAGCGGCAUUGGAGGCUCUACCAUCAGGGAAACACUGCGCAGCCUCCGCACCCGGGAGACAGCGCUCCUUCUCGGCCAUUGAACACGUCCUCCUUGGCCCCCUCAUCCGGGCCUGGAGGUGCCCACAGGACGGAUACAAAGAGUGGGAGCAACCUGGGGCGUCUGUCCAUGGGCAACCAAGGGCAUGUGGUCCCACAUAUCGAUCCGAUCACCUGUUUGUCACACCUGAAACCGGAAGGAUGCUCUAUAUCUACGAGCACAUGGUGGUGGUCGUACGGGGCUCUACCCAUGCGGCAGUUGGACAUCUUGUACAGACGCGUCACACAUGCUGAUGGACACAUACACGUGUGCUCUUUAAAGCCAAGACCAGAGCCUGUUCCUGUCUUUGGUUAUCUAGCUGUAUGAGUGUUAAUCAUCCAUCAUAAAGCUAGAUAACCGAAAGUAGGAAUGACCUUCACACCUUCAGGGGACAAAAAGAAGGCAGAAGAAACACAAGAUGUUCUUACUCUUUCGGAAAAGGAGAUGUUGUGAUGCCAAGAUGGUGACGAUCAUCCAAGUUUCCAUCACUGAAAAUUUGACCAUCAUCAGUAUUCAAGCUUGGCUGCUGCGGUACUUAGAUUUCAUCCCGAAAAUUUUGACAACUACAAUUGACAGCUGUUCAGUUCAUGCCAAUGUUUUCAAAAGUAAUUAAAAAAUGUCUUAUUUCAAUUCUUGUGUGCUUUUCAUGCUUCCUACCAACUUCUACUGAUAUUGAAGUUAUUGACGAUGAAAAUUUCUGCAGAUUUAAUUGAAGUAGUUACUCAAAGUUUUGCUCUUAGAAUACCCACAAAAGUCUAUUUUAGUGACAGUCAUUCUUUUCAACGAAUGAGCGUAACAAUACAAUCCAACAGAUCAACAAAUAUCCACGUGAUGUCCAAAGUGAGUCAGACAGAAGGGUCACGACCUUUCAUUCUCCCGGGACGCAGCUUGACCCGACACGAGUCACCGCACGCGUGCCACUUCAUCCCAGGGGUCCUCUCUGAGUUGACCCUCACUCUGAUCCACCAAAGCAUUUGUGUGAACCUCAAAUUAAAGACUUUGUAAGUUCAAUUGCUAUGAGUUGAAGCUUGUUAUUGUUUUUUUCCAUUAAAAAUCCCUAAUUUUCCAAACCUCUAACAGACUUGUUAACCAGAUAGUCAACAGUCAUGUUCAGUGCUUUGAAAACUGCAAAUUAGAUCUGGCGGUAAUAACAGUUCAGCAGUUGUAGUAAAGCAUUUUAAUCCAUAAACACGAUAUCUCUGGAAAAUACACUGGGGAACACGUUUUGUUGUUUUACGUCUAAAAGCUUUUUUUCCAACUACUUUUUGUGUGAGGAAUCCUAACCUUGGAAAUCUAAUAACUAUCAUGUACUACACCUCAUAUUAAUAAAAAAGGAAAAAAUUGGUUCGCGACUGUCGACAAAAUUUCGGAAGGACGAGACUUCGGCAUCGUAAAGUCGAAAUCACCUAA